AUUGAACGCUGGCGGCAGGCCUAACACAUGCAAGUCGAGCGGAUGAAGGGAGCUUGCUCCUGGAUUCAGCGGCGGACGGGUGAGUAAUGCCUAGGAAUCUGCCUGGUAGUGGGGGAUAACGUCCGGAAACGGGCGCUAAUACCGCAUACGUCCUGAGGGAGAAAGUGGGGGAUCUUCGGACCUCACGCUAUCAGAUGAGCCUAGGUCGGAUUAGCUAGUUGGUGGGGUAAAUGCCUACCAAGGCGACGAUCCGUAACUGGUCUGAGAGGAUGAUCAGUCACACUGGAACUGAGACACGGUCCAGACUCCUGCGGGAGGCAGCAGUGGGGAAUAUUGGACAAUGGGGGAGAGCCUGAUCCAGCCAUGCCGCGUGUGUGAAGAAGGUCUUCUGAUUGUAAAGCACUUUAAGUUGGGAGGAAGGGCAGUAAGUUAAUACCUUGCUGUUUUGACGUUACCAACAGAAUAAGCACCGGCUAACUUCGUG
rnacentral:rRNA from 1 species